rnacentral:lncRNA from 1 species
GUUUUGGGUUAGUGAUUACACACGUCCUCCUGUCACCUCCGUUCCCUGUCAGGGCGGAGUGUCGCGGGUCUUCCUACCAGCAACCCAGUGCUUGCACUUCUGAAAGGCCAGUGUGAGAGGUACCAUAAGUGGCCAGUGAGGUCGGAUCGGGUCCGUCUAGUCUUGUCUCUAGUGGCUAAAGAUGCUUGCCGAAGAGCAGAUAAAGCAUCUGGCAUGCUUAGGUGUCAAAGUUAACAGUCAGGGAUUGGACAGCUUGCAGCAGAGGUUAUUUGCAACCUCUGGGAGGAAAUGACAUUAUUUUAGAGACGUUUACAGUAUUUCAGCACUGGACGGAAGCAUAUUCUUUAUUGAGAGAUGAGCCUACGAAGUCAUUGCAGGAGUCUGGCACUGUGAGGCGUUACCUUAAUUGGUUUUUAGAUGCUGUCAUGAAUAACUCAAAUAAAUAAUACAAGUUUGCU